rnacentral:rRNA from 1 species
AGUGAACGCUGGCGGUAGGCCUAACACAUGCAAGUCGAACGGCAGCACAGUAAGAGCUUGCUCUUACGGGUGGCGAGUGGCGGACUGGUGAGGAAUACAUCGGAAUCUACUUUUUCGUGGGGGAUAACGUAGGGAAACUUACGCUAAUACCGCAUACGACCUACGGGUGAAAGCAGGGGAUUUUCGGACCUUGCGCGAUUGAAUGAGCCGAUGUCGGAUUAGCUAGUUGGCGGGGUAAAGGCCCACCAAGGCGACGAUCCGUAGCUGGUCUGAGAGGAUGAUCAGCCACACUGGAACUGAGACACGGUCCAGACUCCUACGGGAGGCAGCAGUGGGGAAUAUUGGACAAUGGGCGAAAGCCUGAUCCAGCCAUACCGCGUGCGUGAAGAAGGCCUUCGGGUUGUAAAGUGCUUUUGUUGGGAAAGAAAAGCAGCAGGUUAAUACCCCGCUGUUCUGACGGUACCCAAAGAAUAAGCACCGGCUAACUUCGUG